AAUAUCGUGAUCUGGUUGGGCCACGUGUCCUCGUAAUUAUGUGGUCUUUCCACACUGGAAAAAAACCCAGAGAGGCUUCAAUACAUGGACGCAGCAGAUCCCUUUCCAUAAAUGGCGCUGUGCAGCUGAAUGAUGUGAAUCCGCUUCAGUACAACGCUCCGUAAAAAAGCGCUAAUUCUGUUUGAUCUCACUUUGCCUGACUCCAACCAGCACCGCACUCAUCCGCAAAGAAAGAAUCGAGUUGCGGAUCUAAGUAUGGGGAGAGGCAAGAUUGUAAUUAGGAGAAUCGAUAAUUCGACGAGCAGACAGGUGACUUUCUCGAAGCGUAGGAGCGGAUUGCUGAAGAAGGCGAAAGAACUAGCAAUUCUUUGCGACGCCGAUGUUGGAGUCAUCAUCUUCUCCAGCACGAGCAAGCUCUAUGAAUACUCCAGCACCAGCAUGAAAACACUAAUAGAACGAUAUAACAAAACAAAAGAUGAGCACCAUCAGCUUGGGAUCUCGACUUCUGAAGUCAAGUACUGGCAAAGGGAAGCAGCAACAUUACGGCAGCAACUGCAGAGCUUACAUGAAAAUCACCGGCAGAUGAUGGGUGAAGAGCUGACUGGUCUGAGCGUCAAAGACCUACAGAAUCUAGAAAAUCAAUUGGAGAUAAGUCUCCAUGGUGUCCGUAUGAAGAAGGAUCAAAUCUUAGUGGAUGAGAUACAAGAACUAACCAGAAAGGGAAACUUUAUUCACCAAAACAAUAUGGAACUUUAUGAGAAGGUAACCCUAAUUCGUCAAGAAAACCAGGAAUUACACAAAAAGGUUUAUGGAACGAAGGAUGCCAAUGGAGCACACAUAAGCAGUCUUACAAAUGGACUUGGUGUUGGAGAGGAUGCAGGCAUACCUAUCAACCUUCAACUCAGCCAGCCACAGCAACAAGACAAUGAGGCACCAGAAAGAGCUACAAAAUUGGGCAGACUACAACUACGCUAGCAAAAAGAGACCUUACACCAACCAGGAAGAUAUUUCUUAUUUUGCAUCAAGAUAACGGUGUAAGGAACUUGCUGGUCCUCUGAGAAUCAAUCUUGGAACCGUUUCUCCCAAACAUUGGCUUUUUCUUCUUGCACUGGAGGGAUGCUGAAACAAAAAUACACUAAAUCAAAAAUUGCCCCUGGCUGCCAACUUGUGGAGCAUGCUGAUUGCACCCUUUGGUCAGUUUAUUGUCUUCCCCAACAAAAAUCACACUUUUCUCUCCUACAUUCUCACAGGACAUCUGUUCUAGAAAGGAAAAAGAAAGACCCUUUGGCAAAACUUCAUCGGAGCUUUUCUUUGGAAUCUUUGGAAAGUACACAAUGCUCAAGUCUUCAAAGAAAAACACUCAAAUUUCGACACACUUAUGGAAAAUACUGCUUACUUUGCUCUUUCGUGAUGUAAACAAACACCCCUUUUUGUAGUCUACACCAUUUUUUUCUCUCAUUUCACAGUGAAAGAGAUUUUUUUAAAUCCUCUUAGGACUCUCUUUUGUAGUCAUUUCAAUCAAUAAAUGAAAUGUUUGUUUCCUAUCUAUAAAGUAAUAAAUAACAAUAAUAAUAAUAAAGAACCCAAGGGAAAAAGAAGACUAAAAAUCAUUUUGGUCUCUGAAAUUUGUUUAAAAACGAUUUCGUCCCUGUAAUUUCAAAUUUGUAAUAAGUUAAUCCUUGAUGUACUACCAAAAUUUGUAACAAUUUAGUCCCUAUCAUGAACAAUCUCCUCAAACUUAAUAUCAAUUUUGAUUAUAUGAUGACUUAGCCUUCAUAAUUUAUACACAAACUUGACCUAUAAUCAUUUACCAAUCUACACAAGUAAGAGAUUUCACUAGAUUUUAAUAGUAUUUUCACGCUAGGGACUAAAUUGUUACAAACGGAAAGUACAAGGACUAAAAUGAUACUUACUAAAGUUUAGAGACUAAAUUGUUACAAAUUGAAAAAUAUAGAGACUAAAUCUUAAUAAAUCAAAGUUUAGUAACUAAAGUUUUACUUCUAUGAAAAUUCUGGGACCAAAAGUGAUUUUUAUCUGAAAAAGAAUUUUGACUAGGUAACAACACUAUCAGGAAUAGAGUUAUGUGAAUGAGACUAUAAGGAUGAAAAAGUGAUUUCAACACAAAUUAUAGUGAAUGCAAUGAAAGCAAGAGGAGCGGACCAUCUUGGGUGUGUGGGUGCUGUACUUUUCUUAAAAAAAUAAAAAAAUAAAAAAGCCCCAAAGAACCUUUGUGGUAAGCUUACUUCAACGAUGGUCACCAUAAACAUGAUGGAACAUCACAAAUAGGUGUGUGGUGCACUGGUGCACUGGUGCAACACCAACAAAAUAUUAUCCAACCCAAACCUUCAGUAAAUUGGCGUUUACUACUCUAAUUCAAUAAAAAGCUUUAUGGGCAUGCUUCUCGAUGGUUCUCACAUACUUACCAUUCCUAUUCCACAUCAGAAGGAAUGAUCCUACACUGGAAAAACUGCUAUAAUCCAUUUUUGAACAAUCAAAGAAGGUAUCAUAUGCAACAGAAUGGAUUCACAAAUUUCAAAUUUGAUCACUUAAUACACAAGUGAUCUUUCUCGAAAGGUAAAAGAAAUUUCACAGAUCUCCUUAGUUACUAGCUAUAAAAUAUUAAAUUUAUUUGGACAGAGAUAAUUCAAUAAUUUUGUUUUUUUAAAUGCAGGAGUUGCAGGCCACUGAAACUACUUAGCUAAAAAUAUUUUAUAAACAAUUCUCAAGGAGGGAAGAUAGGUAGAUCGAAAGCAGGGUUGUCAAAUACUCACUCCAAGUUUCCUACCCAUUAAGAUCAAUUUCAGUGGAAAUUGCGCUCAAAGGGUGCAUAAGAAUGUAUAAAAAUUGCACUUAUAAUAACUAAUCAAGUAAUAUAAAACAAGAUAGAUGGAUGGCAAAAGGGAAAAAUCUUCAACCAAAUGAGUAAAUUUUGGGAAAAUGAUAAACAAAUUAUGGCACAUUCCAAAAGAAUAAACGAUUUAAUGGUUGGAUAUGCCAAUCAUUAGAGCAAGCCAAAAUCACAGAUUAUCAACAUAGCCUAUAUAAUCUUCUUAAUAAAAAUCUCAGAAAAGUCAAUUUAUGUAAAAAAAAAAAAAAAAAAUACUGGUUCACUUGAAGAUAUCAAUUAAUUAGGGGUUGCGAUUAUCACUAAAACACUUCUAAAAACAAGGCCAAACUAUUUUAUCCAAGUCCUUGAGAUCAUCAACUAUAGAAACAUCCUUAAAAUUUAUUUUGCUCAGUUCCCACCAUUGAGACUUUUCAUGGCCAUAAAACCAUCACUAUGAUCCCCCAUGCACCAGCAGCCCAUUUAAACUUCCAUCCAUAAUGCCAGUGGUCAUCAUAUUUAAAAAUUAUUCAGGAAUCAGGAUGAAAAGUUCAUUAUUAACUAUUUUUAAGGUUUUACCUGGUGGGUGAUCGGCACAACUUUGCAAGAAUGUCACUAAAAUCCAUACUAGACAUCUUUAUCCAACAAAUACGGCCGACAUUUUGGUUCGAACAAACCACCAAAAAAGAUGAACCAAAAUGUUUUACCUUUCCAUGGAAAGGAAAUUGCAAGAGGUUUGAUUCAUCGAGACAUGACAAAUAGUGGUUAUUUUAUUUUUGUUCAUGGCAGGAUCUACCAAUGGAAGAAUUUGAGCAGCCUCUUAAAGAAGUUUUGUUGUAUAUAUUACUGAAAGCACAAGUUUGGUCUAGUGUAAACCUCGAGGUGAAUUCAUUAUCUAAGUGUGGAUGAUACCUACAUAAGGAAGCAAGUUGAAAGCCCUAUUGCUCUGAUACUCAAUUCAAUAACUAUAAGUUCACUUUCAUAAUAUUAACUUCAAAUCUUUUUAAUAAAUCUGUGAUUUCACUAGAAUAAACUAUAAAGAGAACUGAAUAAACAAGCCAUUCAAAUAAAAACCUAAGAAAAAUAAAAACAAGUUUCACAAAUAAUACAAUACAAGAGUAAGCAUAAAAAACUAUGCAUAUGCGCAAAUUUUGUUGUAAUCACACAAUUAUAAGAGUUUUGGCUUUACCUACAUAUGAUAGAGAGGUACCAUUUGAAAUUUCUAACUACCAAAACAGAAGUUAUGAGUGCUAACUAACUAACUACGAAACUUACAGUACCCUACAUCACAAAGGCUUCAAAGAUGAUCUUGUGUAACUUAUUCUACUAAAAUCGCGCUUUUAAGGAAUGUGACAAAUAUAGCAUUCAACAGCGCUCGAGUCUUAACUCAUUACUAUUAAUAAAAUAUUAUCCAUACUCAAUAUCUUAUAAACAAGUCAGUUUGAUUCCGUUUCAACAAACAAAAGCAUCAGGCAUGUCUCAGAAUCAGAAGUACGUUUUCA